rnacentral:rRNA from 1 species
CCGAGCAACGCCGCGUGAACGAUGAAGUAUUUCGGUACGUAAAGUUCUUUUAUUAGGGAAGAAUAAAUGAUGGAAAAAUCAUUCUGACGGUACCUAAUGAAUAAGCCCCGGCUAACUAUGUGCCAGCAGCCGCGGUAAUACAUAGGGGGCAAGCGUUAUCCGGAAUUAUUGGGCGUAAAGGGUGCGUAGGCGGUUAAAUAAGUUUAUGGUCUAAGUGCAAUGCUCAACAUUGUGAUGCUAUAAAAACUGUUUAGCUAGAGUAAGAUAGAGGCAAGUGGAAUUCCAUGUGUAGUGGUAAAAUGCGUAAAUAUAUGGAGGAACACCAGUAGCGAAGGCGGCUUGCUGGGUCUUUACUGACGCUGAGGCACGAAAGCGUGGGGAGCAAACAGGAUUAGAUACCCUGGUAGUCCACGCCGUAAACGAUGAGUACUAAACGUUGGGUAAAACCAGUGUUGAAGUUAACACAUUAAGUACUCCGCCUGAGUAGUACGUACGCAAGUAUGAAACUUAAAGGAAUUGACGGGACUCCGCACAAGCGGUGGAUCAUGUUGUUUAAUUCGAAGGUACCCGAAAAACCUCACCAGGUCUUGACAUGCUUCUGCAAAGCUGUAGAAACACAGUGGAGGUUAUCAGUUGCACAGGUGGUGCAUGGUUGUCGUCAGCUCGUGUCGUGAGAUGUUGGGUUAAGUCCCGCAACGAGCGCAACCCUUAUUGUUAGUUACCAGCACGUAAUGGUGGGGACUUUAGCAAGACUGCCAGUGAUGAAUUGGAGGAAGGUGGGGACGACGUCAAAUCAUCAUGCCCCUUAUGACCUGGGCUACAAACGUGAUACAAUGG